rnacentral:rRNA from 1 species
GGUGCCCGUACCGCAAACCGACACAGGUAGGUAGGAAGAAGAUUCUAAGGCCAACGGGAGAAGGGUUGUUAAGGAACUCGGCAAAUUGACCCCGUAACUUCGGGAGAAGGGGUGCUCCAGAGAUGGAGCCGCAGAGAAUCGGCCCAAGCAACUGUUUACCAAAAACACAGGUUUGUGCUAAAUCGAAAGAUGACGUAUACGAGCUGACGCCUGCCCGGUGCUGGAAGGUUAAGAGGAGAUGUGCAAGCAUUGAAUCGAAGCCCCAGUGAACGGCGGCCGUAACUAUAACGGUCCUAAGGUAGCGAAAUUCCUUGUCAGGUAAGUUCUGACCCGCAUGAAAGGCGUAAUGAUUUGGGCACUGUCUCGACAGCCCGCCCGGCGAAAUUGUAGUACCGGUGAAGAUGCCGGUUACCCGCGACAAGACGGAAAGACCCCAUGGAGCUUUACUGUAGCCUAAUAUUGGGUUUCGAUGUUGCAUGCACAGGAUAGAUGGGACACAGGGAAACAAGUGCUUUGGCAUUUGUGGAGUGGCCGUUGGGAUACCAUCCUUGCGAUAUUGGAAUUCUAACCUGCGCCUUUGAAUCAAGGCGGGGGACAUUGUUAGGUGGGCAGUUUGACUGGGGCGGUCGCCUCCUAAAGAGUAACGGAGGCGUUCAAAGGUUCGCUCAGCUUGAACGGAAAUCAAGCAAAAGAGUGCAAACGCAGAAGCGAGCCUAACUGCGAGACUGACGGGUCGAGCAGUAACGAAAGUUGGAGUUAGUGAUCCGGUGGUAUGUGAGUGGAAAUGCCAUCGCUCAACGGAUAAAAGUUACCCUGGGGAUAACAGGCUGAUCUCCCCCAAGAGUCCACAUCGACGGGGAGGUUUGGCACCUCGAUGUCGGCUCAUCGCAUCCUGGGGCUGUAUUCGGUCCCAAGGGUUUGGCUGUUCGCCAAUUAAAGCGGUACGCGAGCUGGGUUCAGAACGUCGUGAGACAGUUCGGUCCCUAUCUGUCGUGGGCGCAGGAUAUUUGAUGGGAGCUGUUCCUAGUACGAGAGGACCGGAGCGGACGUACCUCUGGCGCACCAGUUGUUCUGCCAAGAGCAUAGCUGGGCAACUAUGUACGGAUCGGAUAAACGCUGAAAGCAUCUAAGCGUGAAGCCGACCCAAAGAUAAGAUAUCCCAUUGUUUCAAACAAGUAAGACCCCUUGAAGACUACAAGGUUGAUAGGCACGAUGUGUAAGUGGAGUGAUCCAUUCAGCAAGCGUGUACUAAUAGGUCGAGGGCUUGACCAC